UACGAAGGGAGCGAGCGUUGUUCGGAAUCACUGGGCUUAAAGCGUGCGUAGGUGGAUUGGUAAGUCAGGCGUGAAAUCCCAGGGCUUAACCCUGGAACUGCUCUUUAGACUGCCUGUCUGGAAUUCGGAAGAGGUUGGUGGAACUCCCAGUGUAGAGGUGAAAUUCGCAGAUAUUGGGAAGAACACCGGUGGCGAAGGCGACCAACUGGUCCGACAUUGACACUGAGGCACGAAAGCGUGGGUAGCAAACAGG
rnacentral:rRNA from 1 species